AGUGAAACCGCAAAGGCUCAGUAAACCAGUCAUGAUUCACUCGAGUAUACAUGACUGUCUUUGGAUAACUGUGGUAAUCCUAGAGCUAAUACAUGCAAUCAAGUCCCGACCAGUCUAACUGGGAAGGACGCUUUUAUUAGAUCAAGACCAAUCGCCCGGCUCGUUCGGGCGUUGCCUUGGUGACUCUAGGUAACACAUCAGAUCGCACGGUCCUCGCACCGGCGACUUAUCCUUCAAAUGCCUGACUUAUCAACUGUCGAUGGUAGACUCUAUGUCUACCAUGGUUGUAACGGGUAACGGGGAAUCAGGGUUCGAUUCCGGAGAGGGAGCCUGAGAAACGGCUACCACAUCCAAGGAAGGCAGCAGGCACGCAAAUUACCCACUCCCGGCACGGGGAGGUAGUGACAAAAAAUAACGAUACGGGACUCUUAUGAGGCCCCGUAAUCGGAAUGAGUACACUUUAAAUCCUUUAACAAGGAUCCAUUGAAGGGCAAGUCUGGUGCCAGCAGCCGCGGUAAUUCCAGCUUCAAUAGCGUAUAUUAAAGUUGUUGCGGUUAAAAAGCUCGUAGUUGGUUCUGCGUGCCACGCUGUCGGUUCGCCGCCUGCCGGUGUAACUGGCAUGCCGUGGCAUGUCCUGUCGGUGGCGUUCGGGAGCCUCGUCUAGGCGCCGGCCCUUGCCCAAAGCUUGGUGCUCGGAGGCCGGGGGUAUACCCGUUCGCCUACUCUAUCCUACCUAGGUGCUCUUCACCGAGUGUCGAGGUAGGCCGACACGUUUACUUUGAACAAAUUAGAGUGCUCAAAGCAGGCUGAAAUCUCUGCCUGAAUAGUGGUGCAUGGAAUAAUAAAACAGGACCUUGGUUCUAUUUUGUUGGUUCUUAAGAACACAAGGUAAUGAUCAAUACGGACAGGCGGGGGCAUUCGUAUUGCGACGUUAGAGGUGAAAUUCUUGGAUCGUCGCAAGACGCACAAGAGCGAAAGCAAGCCAGCGAUCCGCCGAUGUUCCUCCGAUGACUCGGCGGGGAGCUUCUUCCCGGGAAACCAAAGCUUUUGGGUUCCGGGGGAAGUAUGGUUGCAAAGCUGAAACUUAAAGGAAUUGACGGAAGGGCACCACCAGGAGUGGAGCCUGCGGCUUAAUUUGACUCAACACGGGAAACCUCACCAGGCCAGGACAUUGGAAGGAUUGACAGAUUGAUAGCUCUUUCUUGAUUCAGUGGGUAGUGGUGCAUGGCCGUUCUUAGUUGGUGGAUCGAUUUGUCUGGUUAAUUCCGAUAACGAACGAGACUCUAGCCUAUUAACUAGGCGUUUUCCGGUGUCCCCGCCACCGGCGACAAUCAUUCUUCUUAAGGGGACAGGCGGCUUUUAGCCGCACGAGAUUGAGCAAUAACAGGUCUGUGAUGCCCUUAGAUGUCCUGGGCCGCACGCGCGCUACACUGAAGGAAUCAGCGUGUGCCUCCCUGGCCGAAAGGCCCGGGUAAUCCGCUGAACCUCCUGCGUGCUAGGAAUUGGGGCUUGCAAUUGUUCCCCAUGAACGAGGAAUUCCCAGUAAGCGCGAGUCAUAAGCUCGCGUUGAUUACGUCCCUGCCCUUUGUACACACCGCCCGUCGCUACUACCGAUUGAAUGAUUUAGUGAGGUCUUCGGACUGGCGGUAAUCCCUACCGACUUGUCGGUAUCGAUGAACGCUGGAAAGAUGACCAAACUUGAUCAUUUAGAGGAAGUAAAAGUCGUAACAAGGUUUCCGUAG
rnacentral:rRNA from 1 species